CAGUCGCCACGGGAAUACGUAGGUGGCAAGCGUUGUCCGGAAUUAUUGGGCGUAAAGAGCGCGUAGGCGGCACAUACAGUCAGAUGUGAAAUUCCUGGGCUUAACCUGGGGGCUGCAUUUGAUACGUAUGAGCUAGAGUGGGGAAGAGGGUUGUGGAAUUCCCAGUGUAGAGGUGAAAUUCGUAGAUAUUGGGAAGAACACCGGUGGCGAAGGCGGCAACCUGGUCCCUGACUGACGCUGAGGCGCGAAGGCGUGGGGAGCAAACAGGAUUAGAUACCCCUGUAGUCCCUGUCUCUUAUAC
rnacentral:rRNA from 1 species